rnacentral:rRNA from 1 species
GAUGAACGCUGGCGGCGUGCCUAAUACAUGCAAGUCGAGCGAACAGAUGAGGAUCUUGCUCCUCUGACGUUAGCGGCGGACGGGUGAGUAACACGUGGAUAACCUACCUAUAAGACUGGGAUAACUUCGGGAAACCGGAGCUAAUACCGGAUAAUAUAUUGAACCGCAUGGUUCAAUAGUGAAAGACGGUUUUGCUGUCACUUAUAGAUGGAUCCGCGCCGCAUUAGCUAGUUGGUAAGGUAACGGCUUACCAAGGCAACGAUGCGUAGCCGACGUGAGAGGGUGAUCGGCCACACUGGAACUGAGACACGGACCAGACUCCUACGGGAGGCAGCAGUAGGGAAUCUUCCGCAAUGGGCGAAAGCCUGACGGAGCAACGCCGCGUGAGUGAUGAAGGUCUUCGGAUCGUAAAACUCUGUUAUUAGGGAAGAACAAAUGUGUAAGUAACUAUGCACGUAUUGACGGUACCUAAUCAGAAAGCCACGGCUAACUACGUG